GUGAGGAAUAUUGGUCAAUGGGCGCAAGCCUGAACCAGCCAUGCCGCGUGCAGGAAGACGGUCCUAUGGAUUGUAAACUGCUUUUAUUUGGGAAUAAACUCCGGUACGUGUACCGGCCUGAAGGUACCAAAUGAAUAAGCACCGGCUAACUCCGUGCCAGCAGCCGCGGUAAUACGGAGGGUGCAAGCAUUAUCCGGAAUCAUUGGGUUUAAAGGGUCCGCAGGCGGUCUUAUAAGUCAGUGGUGAAAGCCUACAGCUCAACUGUAGAACUGCCAUUGAUACUGUAGGACUUGAAUUCGAUCGAAGUGGGCGGAAUGUGACAUGUAGCGGUGAAAUGCUUAGAUAUGUCACAGAACACCGAUAGCGAAGGCAGCUCACUAGGUCUGGAUUGACGCUCAGGGACGAAAGCGUGGGGAGCAAACAGGAUUAGAUACCCUGGUAGUCC
rnacentral:rRNA from 1 species